AAAUCUCCAUUGUCUGGGGGAACAGAGACAUCCUGUUGGGGUCAGAAUCCUCAGAAGUUUUGCAGAACUUCACCUGAGCUCAGCACCCCAGGGAGUCCUGCC